GAGAGAGAGAGAGAGAGAGUAAAAAUCUCGCCUUGUUCUUCGUCAAGCCCUCGUCCUCGUCCUCCUUUUGCCACUCCUUUUUCCAUGUAAGAUUAGCGCUGGGGUUCUGUGCGACCUCGACGGCCUACUUAUCCGCUCUCUAAGGUUUCCGACGUGUUGCCGGCCGGCCAGCGCCGAUGAACCUCCGCCGGAGAAUCCACGCCGGAACCCUCGCCUCUUCCUUCGUCUUCCUGCUCUUGGCCGUGAUCUACUUCCGCGGCUGCGGCGCCGAGCUGGACGCCCGUGGGGCGGAGAGAUCCGCGCUUCUUCAGUUCAAGCGCUCCGUCUCGGCCGACCCCGCCGAGCUACUCCGUGGCUGGAAUAGCUCCGUGGACCACUGCUUCUGGCCCGGCGUCGCCUGCGACGGCCGGUACCGGGUCGUGUCCGUCAACAUCUCCGCGAAAGGCGGAUCCCUUCCGCUCCCCUGCGCUCGAUUUGGCCCGUAUCGGCGGAGCUGCGGUGACCCUGGUCGGAGGCUAGCUGGAAGGCUGAGCGCCGCUGUCGGGAGCCUCUCCGAGCUCAGGGUGCUCUCUUUGCCGUUCCAUGGCUUUGAUGGCGAGAUCCCGGUCGGGAUCUGGGGGUUGGAGAAUCUGCAAGUGCUUGAUCUCGAAGGUAACUCGAUUUCGGGUAGCCUGCCUUCGCGUCUCCCUCGCUGGUUGCGUGUGCUAAAUCUGGCUUCCAAUUCGAUCGAAGGUGAGAUCCGGCCCUCGCUCUCGAGAUGUAUCGACUUAGAAACCCUAGACCUCUCUGGCAACCAGAUCAAUGGAACGAUUCCGAAAUUUCUUGGUGGCUUAUCUAAACUUAGAGAGCUGUAUCUCUCUUUUAAUCGGCUUGGUGGGUCGAUUCCUGAUGAGAUUGGAUACGGGUGCCGGAGUCUCCAGAUACUUGACUUGGCUGGAAAUCUACUGGUCGGAAGCAUUCCGUCCAAUUUAGGCAGCUGCACUGAGCUGCAAGUUCUGUUGCUGUUUUCCAACCUUUUGGAUGGAUAUAUUCCUUCUGAUCUUGGGCGAUUGAACAAGCUGCAAGUUAUGGAUGUGUCAAGGAACAGUCUGAGCGGAACCGUACCUGCGGAGCUAGGGAACUGCUUAGAAUUAUCCGUCAUUGUUCUUCUGAAUCUAUAUGAACCGGUGCUGCAGGAAGCAGCUUCUAAUUCUGUUGAUAUGGAUGAAUUCAAUUAUUUCCAAGGUAGACUUGCUGAAAACAUCACUGCUCUGCCGAAGCUUAGGGUGCUUUGGGCCCCAAGGGCAAUGUUUCAAGGUGAGAUUCCUGGAAAUUGGGGUACCUGUGAGAGCUUAGAAAUGCUUAAUUUGGGCCAGAAUCUUUUCACAGGGCAGAUACCUAAAGUGUUCGGCCAGUGCAAAAAUCUUAGGUUUCUUAAUCUGAGCUCAAACAGCUUGACGGGUUGGCUUGACAAGGAGCUUCCCGUGCCUUGUAUGGACGUCUUUGAUAUCAGUGGGAAUCGAUUGUCUGCCUCGAUCCCAAGGUUUACUUACAAAGAAUGCCCUUCAUCUCAGUUCCCGUUAGAUGACGUGUCCUUAGCUUACACUUCAUUCUUUGCUUAUAAGAGUCGCACAGGAGUUGACUUCCCUAUUCUUGAAACCGAUGGUGAAUUUCUUAUAUAUCAUAAUUUUGGAAAGAAUGAUUUUAAAGGUACUCUGCCUUUUUUACCAUUGGCCUCGCAUAGGUAUGGUAACCAGACUGUUUAUGCAUUUAUAGCUAAUGGGAACCAUCUCUUUGGAUCACUGAAUGCUUUAAUUUUAGAGAAGUGCAACAAAGUGAACCGUCUGAUCAUGGACUUAAGCAACAACAUGGUACAUGGGGUGGUGUCAUCAGAAGUAGGUGCAGUGUGCAGUUCUCUUGUUGUUCUGGAUGUAUCUAAUAAUCAGAUUUCAGGAACAAUCCCAGCAAGUUUUGGGUUAUUGUGGAAGCUUGUUAAUCUGGAUAUGAGUAGGAAUUGGCUGCAGGGCAAGAUACCUGACAGUAUUAAGCAGUUAAAAAGCUUGACUUAUCUCUCAUUAGCGAGUAACAAUUUAAGUGGUCACAUUCCUUUUGGCAUGGAUCAGUUGCAAUCUCUCAAGGUUCUGGAUCUCUCAUCAAAUUCCCUCACUGGUUAUAUUCCUAGUGAUCUCGUGAAGAUGACUAAUCUCACUGCUCUUUUACUCAACGACAACAAGCUCUCUGGGAGUAUUCCUUCUGCUCUUGCUAAUAAGACAUCACUCAUUAAGUUCAACAUUUCAGUCAACAAUUUGUCUGGACCAUUGCCUUUGAAUGCCAGUACACUGAGAUGUGACAGUGUCUUUGGGAACCCUUUACUCCAGCCCUGUCAUACAUACUCUCUCUCUGUUCCAUCAUCUGAUCUGCAAGGGAGUAGCCAGAACCCGCAAGCAUAUACUGACUCACCACCAGGUAGCACUCCAAAUGAUAGCGGCAAUAGUGGCUUUAGUUCUAUUGAAAUUGCUUCAAUUGCUUCAGCAGCCGCCAUAGUAUCAGUCCUCCUAUCUUUGAUAGUCCUCUAUAUUUACACAAGGAAGUGUGCACCUAGGUCCUCUGUUAGGUCAUCUGGAAGAAAAGAAGUGGCCAUUUUUGUUGAUAUUGGGGUUCCACUGACUUAUGAGAGUGUUGCACGAGCCACCGGGGGUUUUAAUGCGAGCAACUGCAUUGGAAGUGGAGGCUUUGGGGCCACAUACAAGGCUGAGAUUUCACCAGGUGUGCUGGUGGCUAUAAAGAGACUUGCAGUAGGAAGGUUCCAAGGUGUUCAGCAGUUCCAUGCAGAGAUCAAGACACUUGGAAGAUGGCGGCAUCCUAAUCUCGUGACUUUAAUAGGUUACCAUGUUAGUGACUCUGAGAUGUUUCUGAUAUAUAAUUAUCUUCCAGGAGGUAAUUUGGAGAGAUUUAUACAAGAAAGGUCGAGAAGACCUGUGGAUUGGAGGAUGCUUCACAAGAUUGCUCUAGACAUUGCAUGUGCACUUGCUUAUCUGCAUGAACAAUGUGUUCCCCGUAUCCUCCACCGGGAUGUUAAGCCUAGCAAUAUAUUAUUGGACAAUGAAUUCAAUGCCUAUCUCUCUGAUUUUGGAUUGGCUAGGCUUCUAGGGAAUUCUGAGACCCAUGCAACCACUGGUGUGGCUGGGACAUUUGGUUAUGUCGCUCCUGAGUAUGCCAUGACAUGUCGUGUUUCUGAUAAAGCAGAUGUAUAUAGCUACGGUGUGGUGCUUUUGGAAUUAAUUUCAGACAAGAAAGCACUGGAUCCAUCCUUCUCUCCAUAUGGGAAUGGUUUCAACAUAGUUACUUGGGCAUGCAUGCUGCUGCAAAAAGGCCGGGCUCGUGAAUUUUUCACCGAUGGGCUGUGGGAUGUGGCUCCACAUGAUGAUUUAGUGGAGACUUUACACUUGGGUGUCAAGUGUACUGUUGAUUCACUUUCUAUUAGGCCCACAAUGAAGCAAGUUGUUAAACUGUUAAAGGAACUCCAACCUCCACAUUUUGGGCUUGGUUGACAUAUUCACGUCGAGAGGUGAUGUGAUACAUUACUCAUGAACCCUCCCGGUGCAGAAAUAAUGGAACUAUUUUAAGGGUGCAACUCCUUGGAGUUUUGUCCAAGUUGUGACUCAAUUCUAUGCCUCUGGACCAUAGGGGUGCAUCGUAAUGAGUUUAUUGGCAAUCAUUACAUAGGUUAUGAUCUUCAAUAUCAGCUGGUACUGCUAAUGUGUGAACCAACAUUGACAAUUUUGAUUUCAAUAGUCUAAUUGAUACUUGAGCAUGUUUAAAAAGGGAGAGAAAAAGAUUCUUGCUAGUCGCUUAUUACUUUCUAGUAUGUCAUUGUCAUGGCCGAGGAGUCUGUUGGUCUAAUUAAAUAUAAAGAUGAGACAGUAAACAGAAACUUAUAUUUUCUAUUCCCAUAUCAUGUUAGAAUUCUUAAGAACCUCUUCACCGUAACUGUUGUAUCUUAAUAAGUUUUCUCAUUGCACAUAAUUGAAGCUAAACAGGAGUGGAUUUAGAUGAUUGGACUGAAAUUGAGAAGAGAAAUGGUGAAAGCCUGGUGCCGAAGAAGGUGGACGG